GGGUUGUGAGGUUAAGCGACUAAGCGUACACGGUGGAUGCCCUGGCAGUCAGAGGCGAUGAAGGACGUGCUAAUCUGCGAAAAGCGUCGGUAAGGUGAUAUGAACCGAUACAGCCGGCGAUGUCCGAAUGGGGAAACCCAGUGCAAUUCGUUGCACUAUCGUUAACUGAAUACAUAGGUUAACGAGGCGAACCGGGGGAACUGAAACAUCUAAGUACCCCGAGGAAAAGAAAUCAACCGAGAUUCCCCCAGUAGCGGCGAGCGAACGGGGAGCAGCCCAGAGUCUGAAUCAGCUUGUGUGUUAGUGGAACGGUCUGGAAAGUCCGACGGUACAGGGUGAUAGUCCCGUACACCAAAAUGCACAGGCUGUGAACUCGAAGAGUAGGGCGGGACACGUGGUAUCCUGUCUGAAUAUGGGGGGACCAUCCUCCAAGGCUAAAUACUCCUGACUGACCGAUAGUGAACCAGUACCGUGAGGGAAAGGCGAAAAGAACCCCGGCGAGGGGAGUGAAAAAGAACCUGAAACCGUGUACGUACAAGCAGUGGGAGCACCUUCGGGUGUGACUGCGUACCUUUUGUAUAAUGGGUCAGCGACUUAUAUUCUGUAGCAAGGUUAACCGUAUAGGGGAGCCGCAGGGAAACCGAGUCUUAACUGGGCGUUAAGUUGCAGGGUAUAGACCCGAAACCCGGUGAUCUAGCCAUGGGCAGGUUGAAGGUUGGGUAACACUAACUGGAGGACCGAACCGACUAAUGUUGAAAAAUUAGCGGAUGACUUGUGGCUGGGGGUGAAAGGCCAAUCAAACCGGGAGAUAGCUGGUUCUCCCCGAAAGCUAUUUAGGUAGCGCCUCGUGAAUUCAUCUUCGGGGGUAGAGCACUGUUUCGGCUAGGGGGUCAUCCCGACUUACCAACCCGAUGCAAACUACGAAUACCGAAGAAUGUUAUCACGGGAGACACACGGCGGGUGCUAACGUCCGUCGUGAAGAGGGAAACAACCCAGACCGCCAGCUAAGGUCCCAAAGUCAUGGUUAAGUGGGAAACGAUGUGGGAAGGCACAGACAGCCAGGAUGUUGGCUUAGAAGCAGCCAUCAUUUAAAGAAAGCGUAAUAGCUCACUGGUCGAGUCGGCCUGCGCGGAAGAUGUAACGGGGCUAAACCAUGCACCGAAGCUGCGGCAGCGACACUAUGUGUUGUUGGGUAGGGGAGCGUUCUGUAAGCCUGCGAAGGUGUGCUGUGAGGCAUGCUGGAGGUAUCAGAAGUGCGAAUGCUGACAUAAGUAACGAUAAAGCGGGUGAAAAGCCCGCUCGCCGGAAGACCAAGGGUUCCUGUCCAACGUUAAUCGGGGCAGGGUGAGUCGACCCCUAAGGCGAGGCCGAAAGGCGUAGUCGAUGGGAAACAGGUUAAUAUUCCUGUACUUGGUGUUACUGCGAAGGGGGGACGGAGAAGGCUAUGUUAGCCGGGCGACGGUUGUCCCGGUUUAAGCAUGUAGGCUGGUUGUCCAGGCAAAUCCGGAUAAUCAAGGCUGAGGUGUGAUGACGAGGCACUACGGUGCUGAAGUAACAAAUGCCCUGCUUCCAGGAAAAGCCUCUAAGCAUCAGGUAACAUCAAAUCGUACCCCAAACCGACACAGGUGGUCAGGUAGAGAAUACCAAGGCGCUUGAGAGAACUCGGGUGAAGGAACUAGGCAAAAUGGUGCCGUAACUUCGGGAGAAGGCACGCUGGUGUGUAGGUGAAGUCCCUGCGGAUGGAGCUGAGACCAGUCGAAGAUACCAGCUGGCUGCAACUGUUUAUUAAAAACACAGCACUGUGCAAACACGAAAGUGGACGUAUACGGUGUGACGCCUGCCCGGUGCCGGAAGGUUAAUUGAUGGGGUUAUCCGUAAGGAGAAGCUCUUGAUCGAAGCCCCGGUAAACGGCGGCCGUAACUAUAACGGUCCUAAGGUAGCGAAAUUCCUUGUCGGGUAAGUUCCGACCUGCACGAAUGGCGUAAUGAUGGCCAGGCUGUCUCCACCCGAGACUCAGUGAAAUUGAACUCGCUGUGAAGAUGCAGUGUACCCGCGGCAAGACGGAAAGACCCCGUGAACCUUUACUAUAGCUUGACACUGAACAUUGAGCCUUGAUGUGUAGGAUAGGUGGGAGGCUUUGAAGCGUGGACGCCAGUCUGCGUGGAGCCAACCUUGAAAUACCACCCUUUAAUGUUUGAUGUUCUAACGUUGGCCCCUGACCGGGGUUGCGGACAGUGUCUGGUGGGUAGUUUGACUGGGGCGGUCUCCUCCCAAAGCGUAACGGAGGAGCACGAAGGUUAGCUAAUCCUGGUCGGACAUCAGGAGGUUAGUGCAAUGGCAUAAGCUAGCUUGACUGCGAGCGUGACGGCGCGAGCAGGUGCGAAAGCAGGUCAUAGUGAUCCGGUGGUUCUGAAUGGAAGGGCCAUCGCUCAACGGAUAAAAGGUACUCCGGGGAUAACAGGCUGAUACCGCCCAAGAGUUCAUAUCGACGGCGGUGUUUGGCACCUCGAUGUCGGCUCAUCACAUCCUGGGGCUGAAGUAGGUCCCAAGGGUAUGGCUGUUCGCCAUUUAAAGUGGUACGCGAGCUGGGUUUAGAACGUCGUGAGACAGUUCGGUCCCUAUCUGCCGUGGGCGCUGGAGAAUUGAGGGGGGCUGCUCCUAGUACGAGAGGACCGGAGUGGACGCAUCACUGGUGUUCGGGUUGUCAUGCCAAUGGCACUGCCCGGUAGCUAAAUGCGGAAGAGAUAAGUGCUGAAAGCAUCUAAGCACGAAACUUGCCCCGAGAUGAGUUCUCCCUGAGACUUUAAGUCUCCUGAAGGAACGUUAAAGACGAUGACGUUGAUAGGCCGGGUGUGUAAGCGCAGCGAUGCGUUGAGCUAACCGGUACUAAUGAACCGUGAGGCUUAACCUUACAACGCCGAAG
rnacentral:rRNA from 1 species